rnacentral:rRNA from 1 species
AUUGAACGCUGGCGGCAUGCCUUACACAUGCAAGUCGAACGGUAACAGGUCUUCGGAUGCUGACGAGUGGCGAACGGGUGAGUAAUACAUCGGAACGUGCCUAGUAGUGGGGGAUAACUACUCGAAAGAGUGGCUAAUACCGCAUGAGAUCUACGGAUGAAAGCAGGGGAUCGCAAGACCUUGUGCUACUAGAGCGGCCGAUGGCAGAUUAGGUAGUUGGUGGGAUAAAAGCUUACCAAGCCGACGAUCUGUAGCUGGUCUGAGAGGACGAUCAGCAACACUGGGACUGAGACACGGCCCAGACUCCUACGGGAGGCAGCAGUGGGGAAGUUUGGACAAUGGGCGCAAGCCUGAUCCAGCAAUGCCGCGUGCAGGAUGAAGGCCUUCGGGUUGUAAACUGCUUUUGUACGGAACGAAAAGCCCUGGGUUAAUACCCUGGGGUCAUGACGGUACCGUAAGAAUAAGCACCGGCUAACUACGUGCCAGCCGCCGCUGUAA